AUGAACGCUGGCGGCGUGCCUCAUACAUGCAAGUCGAGCGAACAGACGAGGAGCUUGCUCCUCUGACGUUAGCGGCGGACGGGUGAGUAACACGUGGAUAACCUACCUAUAAGACUGGGAUAACUUCGGGAAACCGGAGCUAAUACCGGAUAAUAUAUUGAACCGCAUGGUUCAAUAGUGAAAGACGGUUUUGCUGUCACUUAUAGAUGGAUCCGCGCCGCAUUAGCUAGUUGGUAAGGUAACGGCUUACCAAGGCAAUGAUGCGUAGCCGACCUGAGAGGGGGAUCGCCCACACUGGAACGGAGACACGGCCCAGCCUCCUCGGGGAGGCCGAAGGGGGGAAUCUUCCACAAGGGGCGAAAGCCUGAGGGAGCACCGCCGCGUGAGUGAUGAGGGUCUUGGGAUCUAAAAACUCUUUUAUGGGGGAAAAAAAAAUGUGAAAGAAAAUAUGCCCGUCUUGAGGGUACCAAAUCAGAAAGCCACGGCUAACUACGUG
rnacentral:rRNA from 1 species